GGCACCUGAAUAAACACCACAAUGAAGAAAAAAAAAAAUCACUUUUUAAUGAGUCAAACCAAUUUUUACUGAGUCAAAUAGAGGCAGGGACGGGACCCUACGCGGGAAAGCCUCUGUUUCUGAGCUGUGUUUUGAAGCAAACCACAGCUCCUCAGAGACUGGAAACCCAGUGGUGCCUGCCCAGCAUCUCUGCAGAUGCCCGGUGCUUUAAAAGUCCGGGCUCUGGGAGUGCCGGGGAGAGGGCGAGAUCCCAUUGCAGGUAUCCAUGGGAACAGCGGCAGCGGGAAUGUUUUGAAGCUGCUGCUCUCUCUCCUGUAGCCGCUUUGCUUGUUAAAGGAGAACUGUUAAGGCUGGCGGGCUGCUAAUUUGACCUACCUGCUGUGUUUGGGAUGAUGGGUGUGAACGUGUGCGUAUAACACUUUCCCCCGCUGCGCCUUCCCCCUUUGUUCUGGGGCCCAGGCAGCACGGGGACCUUUACAAGGAUUCUGCUCUCUGAAGCCAAGAGCAGGAAUCUCAUAAAUUCAAGGAGACUGCCAGCCCCACGUGGCUUUCCGGCUGUGUAGCACAGAUGCAAAGUUAUCUGCUGUGAUCUGUUCUGAUAUCGUCCGUGGCAUCCCAGAGCUGAGGGAAAGUUUCAAUGGGAUUGAAGCCGGAGCACACGCUCACAGGAACGACAAGAUGGGGGCACCAAGGCCUGAAUCAGGGUGGGGAAAAGUGCCAAUUCCACACUAAAUCCCCAUAAGAUGGUUGCAGGAAAGAAAAUUGUUGCUACUCCUGCUUGAAGCACUAGAAAAGUGUUAAGACAUUCAGAAAACAGUUUUGCUCAGCAUAAGGGCUGUGAAAGAAGCUACAGGGAACCAAGGUCUGAGGGCUAAUAGCAAGGGACUAUUAAUAACAGGAAGGAUCAAUGGGAUGAAUGUGCCGUGGAGUGUUUGAUGCAUGAUCGUGUCAAACGGCAGCCACAACAUCACAGUAAUCCUAUAAAGUGGUGGAGUCUGGGGUAUUCCAGUGGAAUCCCCCCAAACCUCUUCGUCACUGUUUAUGAAUGAGAAAGAGCUGGACACAGUAAGUGUUUCUCUAGAACUGCAAGGUCAGCUGUCUCCUUCACAUGGUCUGGAACUGCACCAGUCCCAGCCCACUCCAAAUACGUCUGCACUGUCUUAUUUCUCUCCAACAGCGCUUGGCCUUGGAGGAAUUACAGCACUGGGUCAGUUGGGUGGAAGUUCCUGCAGAGACUCGCUGCCAACACGAGGAUGCCCUGAUCUGGCAAAAGGGAUUUACAGAGCUGCACUCGCAUCUCCCCAGUUCUGCCUUACCUCCUUGGGCUCUGUCAGAUAGCGGAAAAGCACUUCAGUCAGCGCUGAGAAUUGCUGUGAAGAAACAGGAGUGUUAGAUAUCAGCACCUCACCACCCCACCAGCACCACGAUGAGAUGGUGAUGUACCCCCCUGAGCCAGCUCCACCCGCCUCCACAGCACUGGUUCCAGAGCUGGACCUGUGCUGGUGCUCUGUCCUUGGCAUGAUGUGAUGCCUGUGGAUGGGAUUUGCUCAGGAUGCUUUUCAGACCCUCUCAAGGGGUCUGUGCAGUUGGUAGCUGGCACUGCACAGAGCUUUUGUGACUUGUGGCUAAUCGGAAGCUGCUGUUCUAUCUUGUGCAAUCCAAAAAGUGCGAGUGGGAAAAGUUGUGAACAUCCAGUCUCAUGGUUCAUAAACCCCACGGGGUAACCAGAGUGACUGGGGAAAGGAAGAGAACUGAUUAAGGGUCUAGUUGCUGUUUUCAGUGUUCUGGAUCUGCAGCUGGCAGGCAGGGAUGGAGAGGCUCCCCGAGUGGCAGAACACUACCAGCACCCUCCUCUGCUGGCACCAGCACCAGCACUGGCUGUGACCUUCUGGGUAUGGCCAAAAGUGGUGUUGGCUGCUUUGGGGCUGCAGAUCCUGCCCUGCCCUUGGCCUCGGCCUUGUAACAGAGAUGGCACAGGGCUGUCACCAGGCUGAUAUCCUCAGUCCUGGCAAGCUGGGCUGGAAAAGCCUCAGCGUUUCCACCAACUUCAGUCCAAGCUGCACAGCCAGUGUCGGUGGCCUGGAGGCAGAUGGUACCAAUGACCAGAACCAUUCAGCUUGAGGCAGGAAGCGCAGGGUGGGAAUCUGGGGUGGGAAUCACAACCCCAACACUGUGUGGUCCCACCACAAACCCCAGUUCUUGACAGGACUCCACUGCCCACCAAGCACGAUCUGAGCCCUCCACCAGGAACUCCACCAGUGUCGCUGCCCAUGGCGGGCAGGUGGAACUAAGAUGGUGUUUAAGGUCCCUUCGAGGCGAAGCCGUUCUGGGAUUCCAUAAUUCUAUAAACAUCCUUCCAACAGCUCGGAGGGGCUGGAUCGGGGCUGUACCGCCGGGCACGGGGCCCGUGGGGCUGGAGCCGCGGUGGGACCGGCACAACGCCCGGAUCCAGCUCCCGGUGCCGCCGCCCCGCCGGUUCCGCGUCCGGGACUGCCCCCGCCGCCAAACGCGCCCAUCCCCGCCCCGGCGGAAAAACACGGCCCAAACCGGCACACCUGGGCGCUGAGCUGGUUCAGGUUGUGCAUGUCGCCGCUCACCGCCUCCGGCACCGGGUCGCGGGUGAAGUUGAGCAGCCCCAUGGCGGCGGCGGCGGC